AACAAACGCUGGCGGCGUGCCUAACACAUGCAAGUCGUACGAGAAAGUCGGCUUCGGCCGAUGAGUACAGUGGCGCACGGGUGAGUAGCGCGUGGGUAAUCUGCCCCCCGGUCAGGAAUAACCCGCCGAAAGGCGGGCUAAUACCCGAUAACACUGACGCUCCGCGGAGCGUCUUUCAAAGAAGGCCUCUGUUUACAAGCUUUCGCCGGAGGAUGAGCCCGCGUACCAUUAGCUAGUUGGCAGGGUAAUGGCCUACCAAGGCUACGAUGGUUAGCUGGUCUGAGAGGAUGGCCAGCCACACUGGAACUGAGACACGGUCCAGACUCCUACGGGAGGCAGCAGUGAGGAAUCUUGCGCAAUGGGGGAAACCCUGACGCAGCAACGCCGCGUGAGUGAGGAAGGCCUUCGGGUCGUAAAGCUCUGUCAGAUGGGAAGAAAUGGAUGGGGGCUAAUAUCGCCCAUCCUUGACGGUACCAUCAGAGGAAGCACCGGCUAACUCCG
rnacentral:rRNA from 1 species